AGUGAACGCUGGCGGUAGGCCUAACACAUGCAAGUCGAACGGCAGCACAGUAAGAGCUUGCUCUUACGGGUGGCGAGUGGCGGACGGGUGAGGAAUACAUCGGAAUCUACUUUUUCGUGGGGGAUAACGUAGGGAAACUUACGCUAAUACCGCAUACGACCUACGGGUGAAAGCAGGGGAUCUUCGGACCUUGCGCGAUUGAAUGAGCCGAUGUCGGAUUAGCUAGUUGGCGGGGUAAAGGCACACCAAGGCGACGAUCCGUAGCUGGUCUGAGAGGAUGAUCGGCCACACUGGAACUGAGACACGGUCCAGACGCCUACGGGAGGCAGCAGUAGGGAAUCUUCAGCAAUGGGCGAAAGCCUGACGGAGAAACGCCGCGUGAGUGAUGAAGGUCUUCGGAUCGUAAAACUCUGUUAUUAGGGAAGAACAGAUGUGUAAGUAACUGUGCACAUCUUGACGGGACCUAAUCAGAAAGCCACGGCUAACUACGUG
rnacentral:rRNA from 1 species